GUUCCCCAGGGGUCAGUUCUCACAUCAUUGACUCAUCUGGUAAUAAUAAAACAUGGUUUGGGUUCAGAUCUUUAUUAUUACUUGUUCUUGGUAGUCCAUGCUUUUCCCAGAAAUGGGUUUAAGAUUAUUAACAGUGGUCUCUUCUAGAACUUCUCUGAUCAAACAUAAAGGCUACAGCUCCUUUGUACCUAAGAAAUCUAGGCCAAGUGUACCAAUCAAGAAACUGAACACAAUACUGUUGAGGUUGAGCUAAUAUAAUAGGCUACAUAACCCCGUUAUAUUUGACAGACAACUCUUACUUGAACGAUAUUGUUAUUUGUUGUAUCAGAUUCAUUUAGGAAGGCCUUUUUAAAAAGGCUUUUAUUAAAAAAAAUAAAAUAAAAAAUAAAAAGGCUUUUAUUUAUUUAUUCAUGAGAGAGAUUGAGAGGCAGAGACAGAAGAAGGCUCCAUGCUGGGAACCCGAUGUGGGACUCGAUCCUGCGUCUCCAGGGUCAUGCCCUGGGCUGAAGGCAGCGCUAAACCGCUGAGCCACCCGGGCUGCCCUAGGAAGGCUUAGUACUGCCUAGCAAACAGAAAGAAGGAACAAAUCCCUGUCUUUGAUGCCUUAGAAUAGUGGUACAAAUGGUAUCAAGAGUAUUGUGGAUACAGGAAAGAGGAGCUGGGUGUGACUCACAAUACAGUAUGAUCACCAGAAAUAUUUGAAUAUGAUCUUUUCAUGGUAUAGUUUAGGGCAAUAGUCUCAAAAAGAUUGAAAGAACAUCUACUUCCUCAGGGUAUGAAUAGGUAUUACAGGGGAAAUGUGGCAAGAGUUCUCAGAACUUCCAUCACGUACCUUUUGAAUCUCUAAGAGUAGAGGUAUAACAUGCCAAAUACCCCAGCUUUUUGGGGCAGAGAAGAGCAUUCCAGGAUCCACAGAACAAUUUAGGAAACUCUGGUUUGGGAUAUAAUGUCACCACAAAACAGAGAUGUUGGCUGGUUACCAGGAAUGCUCUUCUACUUCUAUGUGGUAUAGGCUGCUGUGAAUCAUUUUUUCAGCCUACCUAAAUUAUCCUUGAAUUGUUAUAUUAAUAUCAAAAGUCAAGAUAAGGCAGGUCAAUGGGAAAAUGGAAAAAUAUGGCAAGAAAAUAAAUGACACACAGUUCAUGUCUGGGAAUCAUUUACCAAUGAUUGUGUAUAUUCUCUUUCAUAGCAGAAUAUUUGCAUUCUUGCUCCCUCAGAAGGAUGGCCUUCAGUGCAGCAAAACAAGUGAAACAAAGAUUCAGGUAUCUGGCAAAAAAAACAAUAACAAGGGAUGCCUGGGUGGCUCAGUGGUUGAGCGUCAGCCUUUGGCUCAGGUCAUGAUCCUGCAGUACUCGAUCCUGGGAUCGAGUACUGCAUGGGGCUCCCUGAAGGGAGCCUGCUUUUCCCUCUGCCUCUGUGUGUCUCUCAUGGAUAAACAAAAUCUUUUUAAAAACAGAACAAACAAAAAAAAAAAAAGAAAAAA
rnacentral:lncRNA from 1 species